GUGGGGAAUAUUGGUCAAUGGACGAGAGUCUGAACCAGCCAAGUAGCGUGCAGGAUGACUGCCCUAUGGGUUGUAAACUGCUUUUAUGCGGGAAUAAAGUUCACCACGUGUGGUGUUUUGUAUGUACCGCAUGAAUAAGGACCGGCUAAUUCCGUGCCAGCAGCCGCGGUAAUACGGAAGGUCCGGGCGUUAUCCGGAUUUAUUGGGUUUAAAGGGAGCGCAGGCGGAGUGUUAAGCGUGACGUGAAAUGUACCGGCUCAACCGGUGAAUUGCGUCGCGAACUGGCCCUCUUGAGUGAGUACGACGUAUGCGGAAUUCGUGGUGUAGCGGUGAAAUGCUUAGAUAUCACGAAGAACGCCGAUUGCGAAGGCAGCGUACGAGUCCUUAACUGACGCUAAUGCUCGAAAGUGCGGGUAUCGAACAGG
rnacentral:rRNA from 1 species